rnacentral:misc_RNA from 1 species
GUGAAGAACGCAGCGAAAUGCGAUAAGUAGUGUGAAUUGCAGAAUUCAGUGAAUCAUCGAAUCUUUGAACGCACAUUGCGCCCCCUGGUAUUCCGGGGGGCAUGCCUGUUCGAGCGUCAUUUCACCACUCAAGCCUCGCUUGGUAUUGGGCAACGCGGUCCGCCGCGUGCCUCAAAUCGACCGGCUGGGUCUUCUGUCCCCUAAGCGUUGUGGAAACUAUUCGCUAAAGGGUGUUCGGGAGGCUACGCCGUAAAACAACCCCAUUUCUAAGGUUGACCUCGGAUCAGGUAGGGAUACCCGCUGAACUUAAGCAUAUCAAUAAGCGGAGGA